GAAAUUGUCAGAGAGAGCAAUCAGUUAUAUACUAGUACACGAUUUGUCACGAAGUCUACUCCAGAUUUGUAAUAUCUCAAAAUCCUACUUUAAGUCUACUCAUUAGGAAUUAUUGAUGAUGUUUCCAUGGCGUCGGUUGUCUUGUUCCAGCGGUGUACUUCGGGGUCUUUGUCCUGUAGAAUGAUGGCGAAGCAUGACUGCUGCAUGAGUAGGUGACCUCCUGUUUGCCCUUUGUUCCCUUUUCUACCAUCUUAACUAGUUGGACCAGGGGGAAUCCUUGCCAAUUUGAAAACUUCUCUUUCACGACUGCAAAGACAUGCACAAAUCGCAUUGAAUUAUUAGCAUGUGAGUUUGGUCAGAUAGUUGUCAGACGUAUAGCAAAAUAAUGUACAGUUCGUCCUCCUGUAAGAUAAACACCCUUCAGUCUGAAACUACACUUUCUUUACUCUGAAACUAGUGAUGCAAUUGAUUUUGUAGCUCGACUGAGCGACUCAAACGAUCCGAUCAAGUACGAGCUUGCUAGGUUGCACUUCGUUCGUCCCAGUUUAAUCAAAAUAUGUGAUUAACAUGUGGUCGUGUACGAUUAGCAAAUCAAACCUCUUACCUGAAGGAGCUAAUUGCAUGCUAACAGCCUAAAGGAAACACAAACUUUCAGACUUGCAAGGGAGGGGGUCACCUGUUCUGAACUGGGCAAGAUGGAGGUUCAUGUGGGGGAGUAAGAGGCCGG
rnacentral:lncRNA from 1 species